rnacentral:rRNA from 1 species
CCUACGGGUGGCAGCAGUGAGGAAUAUUGGUCAAUGGACGAGAGUCUGAACCAGCCAAGUCGCGUGAAGGAUGACUGCCCUAUGGGUUGUAAACUUCUUUUGUAUGGGAAUAAAAUGUUCCACGUGUGGGCUUUUGUAUGUACCAUAUGAAUAAGGAUCGGCUAACUCCGUGCCAGCAGCCGCGGUAAUACGGAGGAUCCGAGCGUUAGCCGGAUUUAUUGGGUUUAAAGGGAGCGUAGGUGGAUUGUUAAGUUAGUUGUGAAAGUUUGGGGCUCAACCGUAGAAUUGCAGUUGAAACUGGUGGUCUUGAGUGCAGUAGAGGUAGGCGGAAUGCGUGGUGUAGCGGUGAAAUGCUUAGAUAUCACGAAGAACUCCGAUUGCGAAGGCAGCUCACUGGACUACAACUGACGCUGAGGCUCGAAAGUGUGGGUAUCAAACAGGAUUAGAUACCCCAGUAGUC